rnacentral:lncRNA from 1 species
CAUUAAAAGAUGAAAUAUUUUGUGAUGAAAAAAAUGCCAAAAUAAUUUUUAUUAAUUCAUAAUUCAUGUACAUAUACAAAAAUGAGCACAACCGUCAACAGGCUGACGAUUGACUUUGGGACACUAUUCCCAAUAUUAGUUCCUAAAAGGGAGAUUUGAAGGAGGAAACCUGGUGGGAAGAGAGAUUUUAAGAGAAAUUUUGCAGUUGAGAGAGUGGAG